UAAAGAUUGAAGAGACAAAAAAUUGUGUAUAUCUUGGUGUAGAUGAUUUAUCCUCAUUUUCUUAUAAUAAAACAAAAAAUAUUAUUAAACUUUAGGAUUUACCUGUAAUUCCAAAAUCUUUACAGAAGUUUAAUGUUUGCUCUGAGAAGUUGAAUGAACAAAAUUAUUAAAUGUCGUCAUUGAAGUACAACUUGGUAAACUACAAAACACAUCAAAUUCAGUUAUAAAAAAGAGUGUCAUUGCUAUUAAAAGCAGUGAAGAAUUCAAGUACUCUGGAAGAAAAGAAAAUACGUAAGUAAAUGGUCAAUUAUUUGGCACAAAUCGGAGUUAAAGACUAGUUGUAAAAUUAAACUAUGCAGGGAGAGGACAAAAAAUUGGAAUAGAAAAAAUGUUAAUUGCAUACGCUGCUAUUGAAACUGUGAAGUCAAAUAAGCACGGCUUGUGCAGACAUGUGAUAGAUAUAGAGGAAGAAAAAAUAAAAAUCUUGGGCACCAAAUAUCAUAAGCUAAACAUUAUUCAAUAACAAGUAGCUCAGCCAAUA